ACACUCAGGUCUGUUGAUGAUGGUAAAGAACAUGGACCAUUCAUGGAGAAGCUUGAAACUCACAUCUGCAAUCAUGACCGAGAAAUUGUGCAAGGCUUUGUGGACUCUAUAGUAGAACUGCUGAAAGUGAGAGGAGAAGCCCAGGAACUCAAACAUCAAGUGACAGAUAUGAAUAGAAAACUACAACAUGAGGGAAAGGAACUGGUAAUAGCAAUGGAAGAGCUGAAGCAGUUUCAACUACAACACAGAAAUAUUUCUGCCACUGUUGAUAAAUUAAUUUUGUGUCUUCUAGUCCUGGAGAUGUAUAGCAAACUGAGGGACCAGAUGAAAACUAAAAGGCGUUAUCCUGAACUGAAAACUCUGGAAGUAGAACAUACCUGUCUGCCUCAAGUAAGCCACUAUCGAUUCUGCAAGGUGAGGGUAGACAAUAUCCCCAAGCUUCAAGAAGAAACUUAAGAAUGUGUCUAUGUUUGAUCUCAAAGACUUUCUGGAGAGUAUUCACAACAUUCAGACAAAAUUGGAGAGACUGCCAUGAAGCAAGCUCAACAAAAAAGAAACCUGGAUAAUAUCUUGAAACAACCCAGAACAGAAAAAUCUAAGAAAGAAGCAUAUAAGAUAGAAAGCACUAGCCCCAAGUCUGAACAGGAUUCAGGAAUUCUGGAUGUUGAAGAUGAGGAAGAUGAUGAAGGGACCCAAGAUAUGGUUGAUUUCUCUCCUGUUUCUCAAUGUCUACACAUAUUGUGUCCUGGGCUUGGGAAACAUUUGAGAACUACUACGGAAAACAGAGGCGAAAACAGGCUUGUUUGGUGCUCCAGCCUCUGUCUAACAUGCAUAAAACUUUAGAUGGCUACAGGAAAUAUUUUAAUCAAAUUGUCGGCUUUUUUUUUCUUUUGUGAAGAUCACAUUUUACAUACAAUGCAAGACUUAGUAAAUAGAGCCCACAUUGGUGAACUGUGGGAAAUGGCACUUUCAAAAACCAUUGCAGCACUCCAUACUCACUCGUCUUACUGCUCUGAUCCAAACCUCAUGUUAGAUUUUAAGAACCUCACUAUGCUUUUUGUUGACACUUCAGGUGUAUGGUUUUCCUGUAAAUCAGUUUUUUGACAUGCUGCCAGAAACUUUGCUGAAGAAGUGGUCGAGUAUUUUCAGAAACAUACUUGAUUCUGACAACUACAGUCCUGAGAUGUAUAAAAAGAUGGUAGGACAAUUCCCAUUCCAAGAUACAGAGCUGGAAAAGCAACCAUUUCCAAAAGUUUCCAUUUUUUGAAUUUGUGCCAAAAGCGUACAGCCAAAUUAAAGAAUUUAUCUACACCUGUCUGAAGUUUUCAGAACUUCAUCUGAGCUCAGCUGAAGUUGAUGACGUGAUUCGCAAAUCUAUAGACCUGUUGCUGACUAGGACUCUAAGCAACUCUCUGCAGAAUGUCAUUAAAAGGCAGAAUAUUGGACUUACUGAGCUUGUCCAGAUUAUUAUCAAUACAACACACCUGGAGAAAUCCUGUAAGUACUUGGAAGAAUUUAUAACCAAUAUCACUAAUGUGCUUCCAGGGAUAGUUCAUGCUACCAAGCUGUAUGGCACCGUGACUUGUAAGGUUGCCAGACAUACAGCUGAAGAAGAGAUUUAUACCAACUUAAACCAGGAAAUUGACCAGUUUCUACAGCUGGUUGCUAUGACUGGAUGACAGGAGAUUUGGGCAGCAAAGCAAGUGAUUACCUAGUAGACCUCACUGCCUUUCUACAUAGCACCUUUGCUGUAUUCACACACCUUCCCGGAAAGGUGGUCCAGACUGCAUGUAUGUCAGCUUGCAAGCAUUUAGCCACUUCUUUGAUGCAACUUUUGCUGGAAGCUGAAGAACGGCAGCUCACCUUGGAAACAUUACAGCAGUUCAACUUGGAUGUCAGAGAAUGUGGACAGUUG
rnacentral:lncRNA from 1 species